CUGCUUGUGCCACUCACCCACCCAGAGAGCCCAGCGCUCUGGCCACCAGCAGAGUCACACCACAGCACCGCAUGGGAAGGAAGUUUGGUGCGCGAUCACCAGAGUGAACGUCUUUUGGUCCAGCCCUUGCGCCAGAGGACCAAACCAAUCCAAAUCUUUAUUACAGUCAUAGACCAGCAUAAGGUAAAAGCACCUCCAAUCAUAAAUAAAACAUACUAGACAGGCAGUAAGGUAACUGCAGAGGUAGAGGGUAUACCUACUCGUAUUCUCAGAUGCAGUAGACCAACAUUAUUUAUUUAUUUAAUUUUAUUUAUACCCCGCCUUCCCCGCCCAAGACCGGGCUCAGGGCAUCUAUUAAAAAAAUUGAUUAAAAAAACAACUUAAAAAUUAAAAUACUACUUAAAAUGCAGCCUCAUUUCAGUGGAAGCCCAGAUCAAAAACUGUUUGGGGGGAGAAAACAGCAAAUCUUCACCAAGACCAACUAUCCAGACUGGUCCUACGUGGGCCAGAAAAGCCAGGGAAGUCCCCAAAUAGGGGCUCCAUCACAGACGGAGAAAGGAAAAAGGAAAGAGGGGGAGGGAAUCAAAUUGGCUCCAAGCCAAAGGCCAGGUGGAACAACUCUGUCUUACAGUCCCUGCAGAAAGAAAUCAGAUCCCGCAGGGCCCUGGUCUCAUGAGGCAGAACGUUCCACCAGGCCGGGGCCAGAGUUGAAAAGUGUUGAAAACAUAAGAUAAAAACAUGUAAAACAGGUAAAUCAAUCCUUCGAUUUUAGACCUGCUGUGUGGCACAUACCAUCCUCUGGCGUAUGCCAAUCAUGGCAGCACAAUAUUUGGCAAUUGAAUAUGUUAUAACAGAAUUGGAGCAGUAAGGAGAUAUAGAACUGCCCUGCGUGUCCUGGAAAUUUGUGUGCUAUUGGCAGAAUAAACCUAGCACAUACGUUUGUGUAAUACUGGCAAUGGAAGAGAAUGUGUUCGAUUGUUUCCAUGUGUCUAGAACUGCAGGGGCAUUUUCUCUCCUCAUAAGGUGUAUUUCUGAAAUGACCUUCCUGGAUGGCUGAGGGGAGAGUCUGGCAAUGAGCCAGAGUCAAAGCUCUUCUCUGUUUUGGUAUUUCAAGAUAAGGUUUUUUUGGGGGGGGGUGAGGUAGUAAAGGCAGGGGCGUAGGAAUGGGGUGUGGCGGUGUGGUCCGCCCCAGGUGUCAUCCUUGAGGGGGGUGACAAAAUGGCACAACAUGAGGGGCGGCACGUACCAUGGGGCCUGGCCUGCAACAUGCCCGAGCCAUGCGUCUCUCUUGGCAGCGUGGGGCUUGCAUCCGCCUGGCGGACUCCAUGGGCAGGUUCGCCGCCCCGCCCCCCCCCCAGCAGAUCGCUGCCCUGCCCCUGUGCACGGAUCGCUGUGCCACCCCCGUGGGUGGCUCACCCCCGUCCCCAUAGCUCUGGGUGCUGGAGCUGCUAGCUACACCCCUGAGUAAAGGUACAGGACCCCUGGCUUCAAACAGUUUAAAGGUUAUGGGUAUAUAAUGUCUAGCUUUGGUUCUAAGAUAUUUAAGUAUGGCAGCGGCACUUCUCUGUACAUUCUCAGCAGCACAGUCCCCAUGGGCUUUUUUCCCUUCCAGAAGGACUACCCCCAGAUAUUUGAAGCAAGUAACCUGCUCAGUCUUAUGGCCACCAGUGUGCUAUAGGAGGGGUUUGGGCCUUUUGGCAAAUGCCAUGGUGUUAGUUUUCUGAUGGUUAAGUUCUAAUUUGCCCCCCUGCAAUAUACUGCUAAUGCUUUCAUAGCUCUUCUAAGGCCUAUGGGUAUUCUUGAAAGAGCACCAAGCCCCCCCAAAUGGGACAUUCUGAGGUCAAAACAAGAGCCUGGGUUUGCUACUGUGAUCUGGGAUUUCCUGGUAAAAAUGACAUGGUUGGGUCUGGAGUUGGCUCCUGUGCUGCCUUGGGUCUCAUUUUUAAGAUUAAAAAAUAAAUAAAUAUGGUACUCUGGCACCAGGGAACCUCUGGCCAGUUUAUUGAAUUUGCUCCAAAUAACCUUGAAGUCAAGUCAUUCUGGGGCAGUAGGUUUUAGGCAGAGGCUUCUCCCAGCCCAACCUGAGGUUGCCAAGGAUUGAACCUUGGACCCUUCUGCAUGCAAAGCCUGUGCCUCAACCACAGCUGGAGAUGUGGGUCAUAUUGCAUAGAUAUAUGAUUUUUUGUUUGGUGCGUGCUCUAAUUUGGAAGGAGGAGGAAGUUCAAUUAAAAAUGCACUUAAUUCGAGGUUAUCCUCCCAGAAUUUUGGCUUUGAGAGGGGAUGAUAAAAAAAGAAAGAAAAAGAUCGUUAAUCAUAACAAGUGAGUAGAGCUAAAAUUAAACACACACUGGCUUUGAUUCAUUAGGCAAUGCAUGGCAGAGCAACAGUGUAAACAAGCAGAGUUCAUGUAAAAGGAAUGCAAAGGUGUUGCCAAGGCUCAUCCGUCCAUCCUAAAAGGAGCUUACUGAUGAACAAUUUAUCAGUUAAGCAAGGAGCACAUAUGAGGAGUGCAACUUUAUCCCCCCUGCCUUUUAAUCCCUUGCUGUCUGUUAGCACAGUGGGCAACAGGCUCCCUCCUCAAGACACCAUCACUGGGGUUGUUUUUGUUCUAUCUGCGAUGUGCUGGCUGAAUACUUCAAAGGGUAACUCAGGCACUUACGCAUCUCACUUUUCAGAAGGUUGUGACAUCCAAUAGCCUCUUCAGCUGCUCACAGAUGAAAAGCACCAAUGAUGACACUUCUAAAGAGGGGGGAAAUACGCACCCCUCUUAGCAGCCUGAUCCUGUGUGCUGCUGCUCUUACUGCACAGAGCGUAAGUUCAAAUGUAGGGAUCUUGCCUGGCACCAGGUGACCUCUGCCAUUUUGCUUAGAGGCUGAGAAUGGUCUUAGCCCUCCCCCUUUCCUCAAAUCCAGCUCAUGUAAAGCUGAGAGUGGACUGGAGGUAACAUGACCCCUCCCUGGAGCCCAAGAGCUAUUGGGGGCUGCAGUCUCCAGCUGAGGAGUCAGACAAGAAGUCAGUCCAGGCUGAAGGCUCUGAACCUACUUCUGGGAUUUGGGAGACAGUGGUCUGAGUCUGGCAGAGUCUGAGCCUGAGAAUAGCCUCAAGAAGAACCUCCCAUACCACCAGGGCCUGUAUGGGACCCUCAGGGUUGUCUUCCCUUGAGCUUGAGGAAACAUAACCCUCUCAAAGGAAGUGCAUCAGGUGGGAAGCCAUGAAACAGAGGAACAGUGCCCAUCUUCAGAGCAGAUAGUUGGCCCUUUAAGAACUGAUGUUAUCGACAAGGGGACAGAGCGUGGGAGACAAAGUUGGGGAAGUAGGCUUUAAAAGAUCGGCUCUAAACCUUUGUUACAACAAGUUGUUCACUCAGGAAGUGAGGCUGUUAUCUGCAAAACACUGGCGAGCUCUAAUUUUUUUAUUAUGUUAAAGCACAGCAACAAAGUUGUUGUUUUUUAAGUUGAAAUCUUCAUUUAAGGUGUUUUUAAAAAUAACAAUCUUACAUUGCUUUGCCUUGACAACAACAACCAAACAAACCUAGAGCUCUUCUGAACUCCACACACAGAAGUCUAGGCAGCCUCAUGUAAGGUAAAGGGAAAGGGAAAGGGAAAGGGCCCUUGGAUUGUUAAGUCCAGUCAAACUUAACUAUGGGGUGUGACACUCAUUUCAGGCUGAGGGAGCCAGCAUUUAUCCACAGCUUUCCAGGUCAUGUGGCUAGCAGGAUUAAACCACUUCUGGUGCAAUGAGACAAUGUGAUGAGUGCCAGAGUGCAUGGAAGUGCCGUUUACCUUCCCACCGCAGUGAUACCUAUUUAUCUACUCACAUUGGUAUGCUUUCGAACUGCUAGGUUCACAGGAGCUGGGACAAAGCAACAGAGCAGUGGUUUAGAGCACAGCGCCUAUUGCAGGGAUGUCCAACAGGUCGAUUGUGAUCUACUGGUAGAUCCCCAUGAGGUUUUGGUAGAUCACAGUGUAUCUCUGGCUCCCUUUCAUUAGCGUCGCUAAAACUUACUCCUGCCCCGCCCCCUCGCCUUGCCCUCCAUUGUUGUAUGAUCUCUGGAAGGGAAGAUGGAGCUUUCUCUGUACUGCUGUUUUGAUCCAUAGUGAUCUUUUUGUGAGUGACUUCGCCCCUCUGCCCCCCCUAAAAAAAUGGGGCUUUUCUCUUUACUAAAAAAAGCUCAACAACUUUGAGCUGAAUUCUGAAUCACAGUCUCUUGAGAGCUGGCCACCCCUGGCCUAUUGGGUAGAAGAAACCAAAGAACAAAAAAGUUAGCGAACUCUCCAUGGCAUUCUCCGCUCUUCCUGCUUCUCCUUUCCAAAAAACCUCUUGCCAAGCAACUGCUCCCCUUCUGUCUGCUCGCCCCACUUCUCUGUUAUUCCAAGCCUAGUUUUAAAAGGUGGUAAUUUUCCUGUAACCUACAUCACUGCUCAAUGUAACCUUGGCAGUCUUUGUUGGCACAGACCCAAGGAUUUCCCUGUGAUGGGCCGUCAUCACCUUUUGCCCUGCUUCAUGGCUUCUACCCCUGGAAAGGGAGCGUAGCCUGUAUUUUUCCACUGGCCAAUCAUCUUUCCUUCAAUACUCCAAAUAUUAUCUAAAUUCUACCAUUUAUUAAUUUCUAACAUUCACUAACUCUAGAAGUUGUGGAUGCCCUUGCACCCCCAAACUCUGUUACCCAAGAUCUGCAACAAUAUACAUGCUCCUGCUAGAAGCAAAACACAACUCAAGGUUCAUGCAGACUUCUGCUUGUCCCGCUGCUUUCCCCUGAGGAAACAUGCUCUUUACCACUGAAUCAGAGAAGAUGUCAAUUGGAUUUCCCACAGAUUAAUAUUUACUCCAAAUCAGUGGGAAAAUGGCAGGGCAAAUGGAAAACCAUUUGGAGCCAUGCCUGGAAAGCACAGGAGAACUCUUGGACCCUAGGCAUGAAACAAAGUGUGGAUGAGCCUUGAAGCAGCUGGCCCAACAAGACGGAUGGCAAACCACAGGAAAAGUAUAUUGCCUAUUUUCAUUGAACCCUUAAAACUGAGCAAUUACAAUGUCAGUGUUGUUCAGAAUACUGCUUUCUACUGAUGUUUGUUACCAAAUCCUUUUUGAAAGCCUUUCAAAGGUAUUGCCACUUACCUAUUUGAAGAAUGCUAUUAGCGAUCUUAGAUAUAAUCUGUACAACGCUGACUCCAGAGUUCUGGCUGAGGAACAUAACCCUUCUUUGCAAAGGAAAGCCACAUUUCUAACUAUGAAUUUCCCCGAAAUGUUUUAAUCUGCAGAUUGGUCUGCAAAGUAGGCAAAACAAAUUCCCUCCAUCUUGUGUAAAGCUGUUGAGGCCACUAAAAUAUGUCUCCACCUGCAUUUAUUUAAAAUUAAAACAUUUAUCUGGCAGAUUUUCAAGACUCAGGGCAACAUCAGAAAAUAAACCUUAAAAAAAUGUAAAAGAACAGAAAGAUAACACAACGUCCUCCAGAGGGGGAAAAAAAACUUACUAGCCAGCAAGACAAACUGCUGGAUGGAGAUCAAGAGGUGGGGGUCUAUGCCUUGCAGCCCUUUCUAAAAUCCAGUAGGGGGAGGAUUACACACCUUUUAAAUAAGAUCAUUCCUGUGCUCCAGGACAGCUGAUGUAGAGGCAUGCUUCUAGCAAUAUUUCUUAUCUGGAUUGAGCUUCAGUCUGUUGGCUCUCAUCCAGUCCAUAACCGAGGCAAGACACUGGUCCAGCACAUCCACUGCAGAUGCAAAUGAGAAGCAGACCUGUGUGUCAUCAGCAUAUUGCUGAUAACGUACUCCAAACCUCUGGAUAACUCCGCUUGGCGGUUUCAUGUACUGUAGGUGUUAAACAGCACAAGGGCCAAAAAUGAACCCUGCAGAACCCUGACAUUGAAGGCUCCAUGGUUGAAAUUUUGGGAGGUUGGAUAGGUAUGGUCUCAGUGGUGGGGUGCACAUUUUUAUUCUUAUUUAUUUAUGAUCAUUACUUUGUCAAAAUAAUUUUUUUUUAAAGAAGGCUCCAUGGGGCCAAUGAGCACUUCCCAAACAUUACCCUCUUGAAACAACCAUUCACGUAGGACCAGAGCCACCGCAAAGUGGCUGACUCAGAGAGCCACUCCAGAAGAUUACCAUGUUUGAUGAUACUGAAAGCCACUGAGAGAUCAAGGAGAAAUAACAGGAACAUAUUUCCCACAAAAUAAUAAUAUUCCCUUUCCUCCUAAAAUAAAUAUUUUUCUAUUUAUUCUUUCAGCCAAGAGAACAAAGCAAAACACAGAGAAUUACACAACCUGAACAACUGUUUUCUAAUCCAUGUAUUAGUCUGGGAAGUGUGAAUAAUGCAGUUUGCUUUACGAUGCACACUGAACAAACUUUCUUUUCCAUGCAUAAUUAAAACAAGAUCCAUAGUUGUCCUUUAAAUAAUCUACCCUACUUGUGAGUGGGGGAAAUAUUUUGCCAAUUAUACACUUGAAGGGAGUGGAAUGAAAUCCUCUUACAUUUCAGGGAAAGCAUGAAAAAGAAAGUGUUCAUAGAAAAUGUCCUAGGAACUUCUUUUAUGACAAAUGCCUUGCUUUAAAUACUGUGUUUUGAUGAAAGCAUCAUCAUCCUUAGCUUGCUUUGCCAAAGAGCAUGUGCAGAAUGCUCUUCCUGCCAUCACUGGAUAAUCACAAGCGGAUCAUAAAAAUACAGAAUUACAGGGAAGACUCUCCAAGUGAAGGUAAUCAGGCUUGACACCUGACAGCAUUCAUUUCAGAAAUUUAAGCCUUGGCAACAGCUCCCUUUGUGAAGGAAUUGUGUGGGAAGGAUUACUAUUCUUGUAGCAUUUCAAGCAGAUAUUUCCACUGUUUUAUGUAUUUCCUGUCAAAGGAUGAUCUGGGGACCAUUGCCUCUGGGAUUAUAUUGCUUCCCUUGCUAGAGCAGUUGUGUUGCCAGUCAACUGUUGCCAGUUCAACAGUUUUGUUGAAUUUUUGUUUCAAAUACCUCCUAUCUGUUGAAAAAUGAACCCACAAAACAUUUGGGGGAGGAAGGCUAUAGCUCAGUGGUAGAGCACGUGCUUUGCACGUAGAAGGCCCCAUAUCUGAUACCUGGAAUCUCCGCCCUUGGCUAGAGCCUAAUGUGUGUCAGAAAGCUGCAAACAGACUGUAUGUUGCUGGAAUGACUGUAUGUAACUGCUAAGCUGUGGAGCUGCAUUGUAGUGUCAGUAAAGGAACUGGUGUUACACCAAGAUGUUGGAGGCUAUGGACUUGGUAUAAGGCAGCUUCCUACAUUCCUAACUUUCAGACAGAAAUAAUAAUCAUGAAAUUGCAAGUUGGGAGAUCGGUACCUGCAUAGAGAGCAGUGCUGGCUCCAUGUUUUGUUUGCUUGGGGCAAGAUACCUACAGAGUUCUUCCCUUUCUGAGUUCACCCACUGUCUCCUUUCCACUCUUAACCACUGCACACACCUCACUUGCUCCCUCUAGGAUCAGCAAACAACCAUCUGGGGAAAAUCAUAAGGUUACUGCUCCAUCUCCUAACUCUUGCUAUUGCUUCCUUGCUCAGAGACAGCAGGUAGAGAUAUUGGAGCAAAGAGUAGGAGAAGCUGGAAGUGGAAGCUCCAGGGGGCAGCAGUGGCCUCCCAACAGGGGCAUGGACCUUGAUAAAUUGCAAGCAAAAUGAAACUCUACAGGCUGCUGAUUAUUUAUUUCCCUGCUGUGUACAAAAAUCUGCAUAAUGUUGCCCAGACUCCAACCCAGGAAGACGCCUCUUACUUUUUAAGGAAGUUACAAACUAUAUUUAUGUUUCAAAUCCUCAUAGAAUUAUCUACUUCUUGGAAAACCUUAUGAACUGGCUCCUGGCCCACUGGGGUUCUUACUGAACAAAGCCAAAUUUUGUACACAUGGAAAAACAACUUGCACCACCUGACACUAUUUCUAUGGAAACUGAAAUAGAAGUCUCCAAAUCCAUUCAUGUGAAUGACUCUUGCUCUACAUUUUUAAUUCCCAUCUGCAAGUCAAGAAAAGGGAAGAUGUCCAUUUUAAAUAUUCAUUUAAAACAUACUAUUUGCAGCUGGAUUGACAGAUUUGGAAAUUGGAAAUCCUUUUUUAUUAUCCAAAGGGCAUGGAAUUCCCCACAGUUCUGAGUACUAAGCCGUGCUUUUUUCUGGGGCUACUCAAAGGUAUGCAACACCAGCACCUUUUUUUCUAGAAGAAAAGCGUUGAUACCAAGACAUGUAUAUAAAUGUUAACCCCAAGAGGAAAUUCCAUUUCUUUGUCUGAAGACUUCAGAUUGCUAAGCAAAACCUAUCUGCCUUCUCAGAUGAUAAUUUAUUCUGCUUUAUUAGUUUAGCAAUGCUUCCCCAAAGUUACCACAUUAUUGCUGCCUAGAGGGGCUACUGUGCAACAAAAGCAGGUCAAAAAAGCCCCAGAGCAUUUAUGGUAGGAAAAGUUACAGGAUUUCCGCAGGAAGUUACAGGCUGUGCACUGAUUGGAAAUGAAGUGAUAUGCCCACCCCAAAACCUUUGCAGAUGAAAUUAGUAUUGAAAGCAGUAUCCUGUAUGACUGCCCCAAUUGCAUUGUGAUCACAAUUCAUUAAUGAUGUGAAAUAAAAGGGAUGUAUGGAGAGGUCCUUAGUCAUUGCUAAGCAUCAUCGUUUAGGAGUCUCCUACAUUGUGGUUAAUCUGAAGUCACACUGCAUUAUGACAUAUCGGUCCUUAAAGCUGCCUAAACUUGUUGUAAGCCUCAUGAAGCAGGAUCUGGAUUACAGGCACAAUCUGAGAGAUUUGGUAAGAUUGUUAAUUCCACUGCAUUCCAUCUGAAAUUAGAGAAGAUGCACUAGAACAUUUUACGCUAUUUUUACUCUUGUUUUUAUACUUGUUUUUAAUGUUCGUUUUUCUAAGUUGCUUUGAGUUCACCUUUCUGAAUAAAACUGACCAAUUGAUGAUGAUGGAUGAUGGUGAUGUUGAUAGCCUAUGCAGUGAGUCAGAGCUGUGGGGCUCAACAUCAUUCUCACUGCAGCUUCCCUGGUUGCCAGGGGGAAGGGUGAUAUUAAGGUUAAGACUGCAUGGACACCCCAGUGAAGCCAAUCAUGUCUCCUGGUGUGCCACAUGCCACUAUAACCUUGUCACCAUCCUGCCCCACCCCAUCCAAGAAAGUGGCUGUAUGGUUUUGCAACACCACAAUGGCUGCUACCGGGAAGACGAAUGGCCCAAGUUCAUGCUUACGCCUUCAUCCUGUUAUAAAUGAUACAUGGAUACUAGGAAAAACAUAUUUCCAUUUGACCUCAACAGAUAUGACAGAUGUGGCCAGUCAGUUUUUGGUGAGCUGUUGUUUGCCAGGGGCCCUUCCCACACCUGCUCAAGUUGGGUAGUAUUAAGAGGUAACUUGGGAUAGGGUCCCUUCACCUCACUAGGGAGACCUCUGAGGUGAUGUCCGAGGCCUUGUGAAGACUCCAAGUAGACUUCCAGUAGAAGUCAGAAGUUCUGUUGGAGGUUUUGUGAGGCCUUGGAUGGGACCUCAGAGGCCCCAUGAGGCCAUGGAAGCUAUGUCCAAGGCCCUGUCAGGCCUCUAACUUCUGGUAGAAACUGGAAGUCGUGUUGAAGGUCUCAUGAGGCCUCAGACAUGACCUCCAAGGCUCUUCAAGGCCUCGGAAGUACCACUGCGGCAUGCCAAUGUAACGUGAUGCAAGUGCUACUGGCCACCCAUAAUCUGGGACCCAAAUCGGUGUCCCUGCUUCACCUACUAAGUGCUUACCUGUGAAGCCUGGUUUACAAGUGUGCAUCAUCUGCAGUUGUGACCAAGAGAAAAAAACAGCCAAUUAUAUCAUCCAAACAGUACGAAGUAGUGAAUAAUAUGCUGAUCAUGUCCCAUGGAAAAUCAGAAGGGUCAUCAGUUUUUCACUGGUCUGGUCAUCAUGGAGAAUGACACUCUGAUUGUACAGUUGCAAUCGAAAAUAUUCAUCCACCAUUGCAAAUCAGGUAUCUUACCAAAAUUUACAGACUUUCAGCUGUUUGCAAUGAGCAAAUCAAACAAACACGAUGGAAAUAGCUCGACCCAAUUUGCAACGGGGGUUGAAUAAUUUUGAUUGCAACUGUACAUAUUUUCUUUAUAGUUCUCAUAUUCUGGAUUGUGAUGUCUCCCUCUGUAAUCUAAGGUAAACUUUGGUUGAUACUCCUGCAUAUUUUCAUAUUUAUUUUUCUGCCACCAUGAGGACUAGAAUGUUAUUUUAAAAGUAACAAUGUUGUGACACUCUGGAAACUACUAAAUUAUAUAGUGGGGAGCACAUUCUGUGAUUUUCUGGGCAAUGGCCAUUAUUUAUCUAGCUCCCCUGCCUACAUUCCAUACUUGUGACUUUCAAGCUAAAAUAACCUUAUGCACAAAUCAUGAUCUUACAGUAUUUUUCAUUGGCAGCAGGCGGAGGUGGGAGAAACAUUUUAGUUUUCUUAUUUUUAUAUCUGUGUCUUCUGCCUGCUAAUUUCAAAGACAAAAGGCUAAGAGACAAAUGAAUAGCAUGUAGCACACCAUCAAUUCAAGUCUUUCUCAGAAACAAAACAACAAAAGUCUAAAUCAAGUGUCAACUUGUUCCACUGAUACUCGAGUAUUUAUAACUGGAGAACAAUUUGGUUGGAGAAUGAUGGAGGUGAACAGAAAUUUAAAAACAACCAAGACCUUAUCUGGUGGUCCCUGAAAUUAUCUCUUGAAUAAUGUGGUGUCGGGGCUUAUCUCAGACGAACACCUUUAUCCAAAAAGAACAUUAAAGUCAAUCCUUAACUGUAUUUUUCUUUUCUUUUUUGCAUUUGUGCAUCCUGCUCUAAUAUGAAGACAGUAACUUGGUGUAUUUAUAAUGUAGUUUUAGAUUAUGCUAUCAUUAAUAUCUGUCUCUUCUUUUUAUUGGGGGAAAUACCACUGAUAAUUUUUGCUGGUUUCUGUCCAAACUGCUACCCUUCAGAGGCUUGCCAUUAACAACCACUGGUUAAUUGCUCUAGAAAUAAUAGACCUAUCAAGUUGGAGGGGAUCUUGAGGCUCAUCUAUUUCAAUCCCCCUGCUCAAUGAAGACUCUUCAAUUCAGGAUUCAACAACUUCAUCCUUGGCAGAAGGCCACCCAUCCUCUGCUCAAACUAGGUCUUCAUUCUAAUCAUCUCUGUAACAAAUGAAUUUGAUUGUUCUGCUAAACGUUUGAGUGUAAGCCAUAUGAUUUGCUUUUCCCAAUGUAGGUCUUUAUUUACCCCCUUGUUCCUGAUAUAGUUAUUCACUCACCCCUUCUUCCCUGGCGGGAUGUACAUCAUAUGUACCUCAGAUAGAAUGUAGUUGAUUAAGGGAGCUGUGGACUCAACUUUUCUAAGUCAGCUACCCUGGCCUCAAGCAGAGAUGGGAGGACCUGCCAAUUUCAGUUCUCUUGGUUUCUCAUUUUUCCAGUCUUCAAUUCAGUUCCCCACAUUUCUGCAGCAACUUGUGAUUAUUAUUUUAAAAAAAAUAAAAGAUCCUCAUGAAAAUUCCACAUUUCUUCCAAAAACACUUUUAAUGCAGUUUUGACUAAUGUACACACUUUUGCAUGCACUUUCCCCAAUAUAAUGCAUUUUUGUACAUUUUUCAUUAGCGUAUUAUUUUUUAUGCACACUUUCUCUUAAUAUAGGCAUUUUUGUAAACGUUGGUUGGAGAACUGUACCUUGUGGAUUAGUGUGAAUAUCAAAGGAUGACUGUGUUUGGGUUUUCUUGAUGUUUCAGUAAGUGCAGAUUUGAUGUAUUCACCUUUGAAUCCCUUCUGGGUUUUUAUUUUCUAUUUUUUUAAAAAUAAAAUUAACUGUAUAAUCAGGAAAAAAAAUACUUAAUUCAACUGAUUUUAUCUCUAUGGUAAAUUUUUGGGUAACCUCAUGGUGCAUCACUUAGAAACUAUAAAGUUCAGUGGUCAAUAAACUGAAAUGUGAUUGAAAUGAAUAAUGAAUAAUAAAUAAAAUAAAAAAAUUCCUUCCAGUAGCACCUUAGAGACCAACUAAGUUUGUUAUUGGUAUGAGCUUGCGUGUGCAUGCACGCUUCUUCAGAAAGCUCAUAACAAACUUAGCUGGUCUCUAAGGUGCUACUGGAAGGAAUUUUUUUAUUUUGUUUCCACUACGGCAGUCCAACACGGCUACCUACCUGUAACUAGAAUAAUAAAUAAGUAUUUUAUGGGUUUGUUCAGAGGUUUUCAAUCUUUGUGAGUCCACAGCUCCCUUGACCAAGUACAUUCUACCCCUGUGGGGCUCAGAAGCCCAGUUAUAUUACCUUUUGCCUGCAGAGCUGGCAGCCUCUCACCCUUUUCCCAACACCCUCCCCUGUGGAGUGUUCCCUCAGCCUCCUCUCCUCUCCCCUCUCCUUGGGAGUCCUCUGGGCAGCCACUGCUGCCAUUCCUGGUCCUUGAGCUGCCCCCCCCCACCCCAAAGAGAGGUGCCUCCCAGAGGCACCAUUCGCCUGCAAAACCUAUAGCCAGGGCUGCUGCAAUAAACAGCUGUGCAAGCCUUUGGAAGGCAGAGAUGUGAGAGGGCAUCUAAGGAGGGAGGAAAGGAAAGAGGUUUAGAGGCCAGUGUUGCCCGCGACAUGCCUGACCAUCAUUCAAGGCACCCCAGGGUGCCAUGGCACACUGCUUGAAAACCAUUGGGUUUGUUUAUUUGGAAAUCAGUGAUUUAAUAUCAAAAGAUGAGAGUCCUAGUUCUGUUGUCAAACUCAUACUGAGGCCUAACUUGUCCAGUUAAUAGGUCUGACCCUUUGCCCGUGGGACUGAGUUGUUUUGUCAUCUGGGGCUGCCCAUAUACUCACAAAUGGAAAAGGGGGACAGGAACAAUGCCAGAUAGAGCUAGAAAUGUGUUUUCCCCCUUUAUUUUUAAAUUAUUAAGCUGACUUCAUAAUCAAUUUAAGGAGAGUAACCGAAGCCUCCUUCUGCCUCUGGGUUUGAAUUGCUCUACCUUGCAUAUGAUAGUUCUUGUCAUGUAAACGCCUGCCUGCAGGGUCAUUGUGGCAUUAAAGAAAUACACGCUCACCAGUGUAAUUACAACUGUUGUCCUUUGGGGUGUUUUUGCUGCCAGUGCUGUUGUUACAAGAGCAGCCAAGGGAACUGAAAUUGAGCUUCCUGGGAAGACUAAGAAUCCCUUGAGAAGAACUUGAUUGCCCAGAGAACCUUUUGUUUAUUCAUUUCAGAAUGUAUAAAGCACUCUGCAUUCAGAGAAAACUCAAGCAGGAAACAUAAAAUCAAUAAUAAAAUAGUGUUCAAAAGUAAAAAUCAAAAACAAAAAACAAGAAGAAUUCAAAUCUGCAGACUUAAAAUAGACGACUGUUUUGGAAACUGUGAAAUAGCUAGGUUUACCUUUUAAUCUAAGUUUAGGGCUUAUUCGCACUUUUGCUUGUCCCACUACUUUCCCUCAGAGAAAUCCACUCUUUGCUGCUGAAUCAGAGCAAACAUCAAUCGAGUUUUCCGUAGGCUGACGUUUGCGCUGAUUUAGCAGUAAAGAGUGGGUUUUCCCAGAGAAAGCAGCAGGGCAAAUGGAAAACUGCUCAGACCAAUGCCUAGAAAGUACAGGAGAAGCGGAAAAUUACUCGGACUUGUACUCUCUGGGCAUAGGACAAGUGGAAGUGUGAACAAGCCCUUAAUCAAAGAUCUCCCCCAUCCAUAGCUCCAACUUUCCAGAGUGAUAGGCAUGCUAACCCACAAAACUUCUUUUAUUUAUAUUUUUAUUAACUUUUCACAUAGCCCAUCUUAAGUGCAUCACAAGUUAUCAUUUUUGUUCUUCUUUGACUUCCCAUAUUGCUUGAUAAGAAGUUGUAGCACUAAUUAUUAUUAUUAUUAUUAUUAUUAUUAUUAUUAUUAUUUAUACCCCUACCGUCUGGCUGGGUUUCCACAGCCACUCAGGGCAGCUUACAGUAUAUAUAACAUAACAUAAAAAAAUUCCUGAUACAGGGCUGCCUUCAGAUGUCUUCUAUAAGUCAGAUAGUUGUUUAUUUCCUUGAUGGGAGGGCGUUCUACAGAUCAGAUGCCACUACCAAGAAGGCCCUCUGCCUGGUUUACUGUAACCUCACUUCUCACAGUGAGGGAAGUGCCUGAAGGCCCUCAGAGCAGGACAUCUUUACUGCCUGUUUGUUUCUAAUCUAACCCACAAAACUUGUGCCAUACUAAACUUGCUAGUUUCUGAGGUUCUGCAAUAUACCGUAUUUUUCGCUCUAUAGGAUGCACCAGACCAUAGGACGCACCUUGUUUUAGAGGGGGAGAACAAACAAAAAAAUUCUCCCCCUCUCUGCUCAGCGCCCCUUCAGCGAGGCGGCAGGAGAAACGGAGCCCCUUCCAUUUCUCCUCCCACUUGGCUGAAGGGGCGCUGCGCAGCUCUCCCUCUCUGCUGAAGCCAGGAGAGUCUUGCUCUCCUGGCUUCAGCAAAAGGAACCUGAAGCCUGCGGCAGGAACUUGCGCUUUGCUCUGCAGGCUUCAGGCGGCUAUCCCUGAAACCUCCAGAGCGCGGAGGGAACGCUCCCUCUGUGUUUCGGAGGCUUUGCAUUGCUAUCGCUGAAGCCAAGGAGCCUGCAUUCGUUCUAUAGGAUGCACACACAUUUCCCCUUAAUUUUUGGAGGGGAAAAAGUGUGUCUUAUAGAGUGAAAAAUACGGUACUUUCUUAUUACUGCUUAAGGGAAAGAAAAAGGAAAUUUAAAGAAAACUGAAGGAAUUUGAAAGAAUUUGAAGGCGCUAAGAAAUGUUUUAGAAAGAAUACCAAAAAAAAAAAAACCCACCCAGUAUUUUUUCCCCAUAGAGGUUCCACUAAUUAUACCUCUGCUCAAAAGCAUGUUCCAUUGUGCUCAGGAACUGCCUAUUUGCAGCACUGGAUUUAGGUUUGUGCAGGCGGUUCUCUUGCAAAGGGCGCUGAGCCAAGAGGGGCCCCUGAGAUCUACCUACAGACAGGGCAUCCUUGCUGUUGAUCCAGGUACAGCUCCACUUGCUUCUUUAUCCUCCUCCUUCCCUCUCUCCAGAUGCCACUGCUGCAGUCAGGAGACUCACUUUUGAAGACCAGACACAGAGGGCAGUCGGGGGAGCUCCUGAUCCCAGGGGCACUUCCAGAGAUGAGGGGGCAAUAAAGGAGGCAAGCACAGCCCCCCCGAAAGAGCUGCAGGGCAUGGUCAGGAGGGACUCUCCUGAUGCCAGCUCAUGCAGCCUGGGCUUGUCAGGGCUGGAGGGGCCCAUCAAUGUCUCCUUGUGCACCCUGGAUAUGUAGGGGCUGGACAGGGCGGGUGGCUCUCCUCCUGCUCCUCCUCUUCCCCACUGCUCAUAGCUGUCAACACUUCCUGUUUUUAAAGGGAAAUUCCCUUAUUCCAAAUAGAAUUCCUCACAAGAAAAGGGAAAAGCUGACAGCUAUGCCACUGCUCCAGCAGCACCUCCAAGCAGACCACGUUUCUCCUCCUGCAGGGUCUACUGGAAACACCUGCAGCAGGGGGCACCAAAUUUUAUCCUUGCUCAGUGUGCCCUAUUACCAAAGUCUGCCCCUGUUGUUUGCUCACUGCUCAAAUAAAACUGCAGUUCUUCCACAUUUCCUUUAUCCUUCCUGCAUCUUCUCAGACACUAUGAUGCCCAUACAGGACCAUGUAAUCAGAUCAUAACCUCAACUCUGACAUCAGUUCCUUAGCUCUUCCUCGUGUCUAACUAGAGCUUGAAUACUAUUGAGUUUUUGAGAACCAAUUCAUGUAGCCAUUAUAGAAGUAUUACAGUAUGCAGAACAACCUGUGUCAGCUCUCUCCUGGGACAAGCUGGUUAGGUGCGUCUGUUGCCCCAAUGUAUGACUGAAAUUUUGGCACAUGGCUUUGUGUGUGUGUGUGUGUGUGUGUGUGUGUGUGUGUGUGUGCAUGACCUGCAUUGAAAGUUGAAUCCAGAACAAUGCAGAGAAUGUCUAUGGAAUGGGAGAAAGCACAUUUUAGAUUUCCAAUGUUUCAAAGCCUCCUUCCAUGCUCUUGUGUUGAACAUCAUUAGAUGUUUAUUUUUUAUGUAACACCUAUCAGAUACUUAAGUCCUUUUAACUUUCAUUUACUAUUUUCUUCUUUGAUUGAUGAGAUGCCAUUUUACAUCAUUUUAUUCUUGGUCUGCAAGUUGUAUUUCAGUUAAGGAGUAGGGCAUGCUUGUGAUUGUGGAGGAGUCUCUGUAGGACAAUUAUGAAACAUCAUAAUAGUCCUAGAUAACUGGAAAGCUGUCCUAUAAAUGUCACAGAUAACUCACAGCAUGAGGUGAACUGACAAAAGGAGCUUUCAAAAUCUGGCAAUAUAAUUAAUGACCUUGCAUGCUUUCACAACAACAGCAAGAGAAAAACACUUGGGAGUAGAAAUUCCUAAAAAUCUAAUCUUUAAACUCUUUGCUGCCCAUCCUUACAGAUUGGCAGCAAUGAGUUCAAAGAUUAGAUUCAUUGGCUGUGAUUGCUUGCAUCCUAUUCCCGUCUCCAAUCCUCAAACACUUACUUGUUGUAAUGGCCUUCUAAGGGUUGUGGCCAGUUUUUCAUAUUCAGAGUAGAUCUAUUGAAAUUAAUAUAUAUGAAGAAGAGAAGAAGAGUUUGGAUUUGAUAUCCCGCUUUAUCACUACCCUAGUGAACCUAAGAAGUCUCAAAGCGGCUAACAUUCUCCUUUCCCUUCUUCCCCCACAACAAACACUCUGUGAGGUGAGUGGGGCUGAGAGACUUCAGAGAAGUGUGACUAGCCCAAGGUCACCCAGCAGCUGCAUAUGGAGGAGCGGGGAAGCGAACCCGGUUCACUAGAUUACGAGUCUACCGCUCUUAAUCACUACACCACACUGGCUCUUUAAAUAGAUGACUAAUUUAAAUGAGUCAACUCUAAGUAGAAUUUAGUUGGAUACAGUCCUAUGUUCUUAGAGGCUGGGCUGGUACACAUACUUGAAACCAACAAGUUAAAAUACCCAAUGCUAUAAUAAUGAAAAAUGGAAUAGCUGUUAAUGUCCAUUAAGCCCAUACCUCUUAGCAGUGCUGCAAGGGGUGGGGAACAGGAUCUGACCAGCAGGUUGAAUCCUGACCUCCCCCACCCUCCAUUUUGACAGAUAGGUGAGGCCUCCCCUCUGCCUGUCACAUAUCACAGUGAUAUCAGAGGUGCCAAACUAAAAGAAAGUCCUUCGUGGGCAUGGCUUACACCUUGAGCUGUGACUGCAGAGGAUUAUCCUAUGAAGCAAAUAAAUAUUUGUGCUUAAAUCAAGCCCAUGAAUACUUGGGCAAGUAUUAACAGGUUUGUUGUUUUGUUGUUUAGUCAUUUAGUCGUGUCCGACUCUUCAUGGCCCCAUGGACCAGAGCACGCCAUAAUAGGUUAGUUGAUGCAAUUCAUUGAUUGUGAUUAAGAGAAGGCCUUUUGUUACUUGGUGGAGAUUGGCAGUGCACUUGGGGCCUGUUGGGUAAGUAAGAAUAAUCAUCUCUAUUUCAUUUUCAGGUUUUCAUUCUACUUUUAAUUUGUAUACCACCUUUAUAUAUUGCUAUACACAAGGCUGUUUAUAGCAACGAAAUAUACAGCAAAUAACACAUACCUUAUAAUAAUCUGAUCCAAUACAAAAAGUCAUAAUAAACAUAAUAAACAUAAUAAACAUAAUAAACAUAAUAAACAUAAUAAUAAUAAUAAUAAUAAUAAUAAUAAUAAUAAAAAUUUAUUUAUAUCCCGCCCUCCCCAGCCGAAGCCGGGCUCAGGGCAGCUAACAACACUAAAAUAGUGCAACAUUCUAAAAACAUUAUAAAAAUUAAUUAACAUCAAAAUUGAUGGCAACCAUAAACUAAAGUUCUGUAAAGGUUGCCAAAGGAGGGAGUCAGGCUGUGCCCUGACCAAAGGCCUGGUGGAACAGCUCUGUCUUGCAGGCCCUGCGGAAAGAUGUCAAGUCCUGCAGGGCCCUAGUCUCUUGUGACAGAGCGUUCCACCAGGUUGGAGCCGCAGCCGAAAAAGCCCUGGCUUUUAACUUUAAAAUAUGGGACUUUAAAAUGGGACGAUUCAUAUCAAAUAAAGUAAUAUACAACAAUCGAUUAGAGAAUAAUAUUAGACAAUAAAAUUAACUCUCAAAACAUCAGCAAAUAAUAAUUAAACUGAAAUUAACAACUACAACAAUUAACUACUAAACUAUGAUCAAUAAAAAUAAGUCACAAUGCAUAAAAUACAUACCAUAUAAAAGGAUCAAACUGAGAAACAAAGACACACAGUUUAUAAAACUAUCUCUCCCCCCCCCCCCGCCUCCUUUCUUCCCUGCUGAUUUUGCUGUUCUUGAAGUCAUGGCCUGGGAGAGGCUAGUUAACUCAGCUGGACUACUUAACCCCAGUGGACUCCCACUGCCAGUACCAGCCUCCACAACAUAAGCAAAUCCAGACUUGAGGGUACUUCUGUCCCUAUCCAGUCUCACCAGUAUAGCAGUUGUACUUUUUGACACCAGGAUUAUUAAGCUCAGCACUUUGUCCAAUGAUUUUGCUAUAAAUCUUGCAUUUUAAAGGGUCUGAACUCCAUAGCCUAAGGAUUACUGUAACACCAUGGAAGGUUUGUAUCUCCAGAUGCCAUAAAACUUUGUUAUCUAGCAACUUGGAUCCCGUCAGUAAGAGACUGGGGGAAUUAACGAUGUAACACUAUGACAUGAAGACAGCAAGUUUUAUAUGAAGAUUAACUUUUCUAGAAGUCAACUGCACAAAGGUGGAAAAGAAUAAUGAAAGGUACUGAGAAGAGUUGUAAUGACCCGAUUCAAGUUUCAGUUUCAGGCUAGAAGCAUGUGUAUGUACUUUGGCAAAAGAUUACGGAGGCUUUGCUUGGCUUAAAUUUGAUGGGACGAUUUAUGUUUGUGGGGGCUGAUUAGACUGCCAUGAUCUCAGGGCUGAAAAGUGUUCAAGGACAGAAACAAAUUGCCUUUCUCAAUUCCCAUAGCUUGGUGGUGACUGCAACCCAGACAAAAAAGAAAAACAGCAAAAACGUGCAAGUAAUUCUUCCAUUUGUUUCUAAAAUUGCAUUUGCCCAUAGUUGUUGUGACAACAUGGAAUCCAGUUUAAUUUUUGUAAUAGGUUCAAGUUUUAAAAGAAGGUUCUGAUUCUGUGGUUUUGUGUUAUCCACAGUUUCCAGUGUAAACUCCUGAGCCUUCUAACCAGGUUUGUAGCCCAGGAUAAAUGAGAAAAAGAAUUCUGAAGUCCUGACACAAACUCCUGAUUCAGGUUCUACCUCUUGAAUCUAAGCUCUGAGCCUUGGGAGAAUGAGUGGUCAAGGACAAUGGGAGUUGUAGUCUCAGAUGGCACCAGGUUGGGGAACACUGGUCCAGGUAUGAGAGAAGGGAAAAUGAAUCUGCAGAAUACACACACACACACACACACACACACAGAAAACAUUCCUCCCCCCUUAAAUCUUUGGUAUCUGGGAGUUAAGUACCAUUGGGGGAAGUCAUGUGCUUUAAGUGUAUGCUUCGUAUGCAGCCCCAGUCUGAAUCCUGAAAUGAAUCAUACAACCAGACCUAAAAUCUAAUUUAAACAGCUUUAAAUAUACCUAUACAUAGAUUUGAAUUGUUUCCCUCAUGUGCCAAGUUUAGCAUUUUGUGUUGCUGCUAUAGUUCACAUUAUAUAUACACAUGUGAGCCCCCACACACUCAACAGAUAAGCAAAGCUGUAGCACCUCUUUCAUGUCAUCCUGAAUACAACAUCUUGAUAAGAAUGCAAAAUGUGUCACCUUCUGCCAAAAGCAGCUUGGUAUUGUUUUCUCUUGUGAGAGUCAAACCUUUUCAUUUGAUAGAAUUACUUUCCAGACAUUCAAACUGAUUUAAUUAUCACAGACAAUAGAAACGGCACUGAAAUAAGAUUACUUGAGGAAAAAAUCAGAUCAAGAUAUAAAUUGUAUGUUUUCUCCCCCCCCCCCCCCAUUUCUACCUUCACUUUGGAGCAAUCAGCAUUUCUUAGUCUGUGAGAAGCAACCCGAGUCACUUUCCUUUUGUUUCAUUUUUGUUGGACAAGACCCUGAUGAGAUGGACAAGACCCCACCUGCUUUCCAGUAGAUGGUUCAGUUUUUCAGCAUAAGCUGAAAAUUUAAGAUAAUUGUAGUCUACAAAUAGGCAUUGAUUUGUUGGAACAUACAAAGAGGGGAAAUUAAUGCCUGUACGUGUGUGUGUGUGUGUGUGUGUGUGUGUGUGUGUGUGUGUUACCACAACAGUUUGGGUUGCUUCCAGUUAAGUUACUAAUGUCCAUUAACUUUAAUGGGUCUACUUUUAGUAGAACUAGCACUUGAUACAACCCAUUUUUUCAAUGCAGGCGUUCAGCUUGCAUGUCCAGUGAAUGGUCAUGGGGGUGGCACCUGACUCUGUCCCUCGUGCUACAUCCCUUUAUGGAUGCUUGAAUGGGCCUUCCAGGUGUACAGACAAAGGACUCUGUUGUCAUGAUUGAGGUAGGGAUGGCAGAAUCUGUCAAUUUCAGUUUCUCAUUUUCCACCAUCUUAAAUUCAGUUCUCUAUAUCAAUUUGCAUUUUUAAAAGUUCUCAUGAAAAUUAUUCAGCAUUUUAGUGUUUUUCCUACAAUACAUAUCUUUGUGUGCAACUUUUCCUAACAUACACAUUUUCGCAAAGCAAUUUUGCCUAACAGUGCAUUUUUUUGCAUUUUAUUUGCACCAUUAUAUGCAUUUUUAUGUACACUUUACCCUACUAUAAACAUUUCAAAAUAUUAUUAUUGCUUGGCUGGAGAACUGCAUUGCAAACAUCAGAAAAGUUCAUGGAAAGUAAGAAUUAGAGGGGGACUUCCAGAGAGGAAAUGACAGACUAGGAUAUCAACUGCUGGCACUCCCAUCUGCAGAGAUAAUUAUAUGGUGAUUAAUAUAAUCAAGAUCAUCAGAGUUUCAACAACUGCUAUCCUUCAAAAUCUGAUCAAGGGACCACUUGUUAAUGGUUUGCUCAUACAUCUUCAUCAUGAUACCAUUAGGUGGUGACUUGAGUGUGUUACUCACUGAACCAGAUAGAAGUUCACAAAACUUAGUAAGUCAGAAGUGGUGCUUUAUAUUGAAUUAGCCUUCACACAUUUUCAAGUGCAGAGUGCUCAAGAGUAGAGAAACCCAGAAGAUACAUUGAUGGGUGGACUGGGCCUUUGAUCAAUUCUCUUUCUUGGGGACUCACAAUUUGCCAUCCACAGAACUUAGUCUAACCCUCUGGCUUUGGAAUAUUCUCUCAGACAUGAACCUGGUUCCAGUUCACUUUACCAUCUGUAGACUUUCUUCUUCUGUGAAGUCUCUGGGUAAUGAGAUCUUUGACUUAGGGAAUGUAGUUCUUGUUUUGAUGAGAGAGCAUAGCUAAACUAUGAAAUUUGUUCCCACAAGCAGUGAUGGUCACCAACUUGGAUGACUUUAGAAGGAGAUUAGACAAAUUCAGAGAAGGUAAGGGCAAUCAAUGGCUACCUCCACUGUUGGAAGCAGAAUGUGUCUGAAUGCCAGUUGCUUGGAAUCACAAGUGGAUAAAAUGCUCUUGCAUCUGGUUGGCCACUAUAAGGACAGAAUGCUGGACUAGAUAGGCCAUUGUCCUGAUCCAGAAGACUUUUCUUAUGAGAGUACUCAAUUGUUUAUUAUAUUGUGAAUUUGUUGUGUUUUAAAAUAUUGCUAUUUGCCCCAUAGUAUUCUGAAAAAGGGCAGAAUACUAUUAAUUUAAAUAAAUGAUUUAAAACAAAACAAAACAAAACAUGGGGGUAGGUCAGUGAGUGAGAUCCAAAUAUGCAGAAAUACAUGUUCAUUCAUUGGAACCUGUUAGCUGAACAGUUCUUGGGAAACCUCAUUUGCCCAAGUUUCUCAGAUGUGCAUUCACCCAUACUUUGUUCCAGACAUUAUAUGUCAGUUGUACUGCCACACACAUAAAUUAAUUAUGUGCUUCCUGAAUUAUUUCCUCAGGCAUGGGAGGUCUCUUUCAAAAUACAUUCAGAUAUUUCCAUUGAAAAUAAUUGCUGUUUUGCCACAAUUGUGACUUGUAAGGCUUCUUAAAUAUUGGUACCUGUUACUUCCUCUUGAAGAGCUUUAUUGCUUGCAAAAUCCUGCUCACUUUCAAGAUUCAGAUGCUGACUUCUAGAAGGGUAGAGCUGAGCUGACUCUCUUGCCCAGGAAAUGUUUAUGGGUUGUUUUUGUUCCAACAGCCAAUGGUUCUACAUAUUCUUCUAGCUAGAGUGUCUGGAAAUGAACACAGGAUGUCCCCAUAGCACAAAUUGUCAUGAGUUACUUCUUCACUCAGCCUUGAAAUACUUUUGGAAACAAAAAUAGAAGCCCAUUUAUACCACAUGACUGCAAGGUGGAAGGGAAGCAUACUAUUUUAUGCUGUCUCAGUUGCUGAGAUGUUAACUUAGUGGUAGAGCAGUGGUUCUCAACCUGUGGGUCCCCAGAUGUUUCAUGUUUGAUCCUCAGCAUCUCCAGGUAUGGCUGGACAAACUCCUGCCUGAAACCCUGGAGAGCUUCUGUCAGUCAGAAGCUAGAUGAACCAUUGGUCUGACUAAGUAUAAGGCAGCUUCCUAUCUCCCAUGUGUACCUGUUUGUCCUUUAUUAUAACAGGUGUUACAGUAACAAAAGAAUAUUCCAGGAGAUCAGACAUGAGAAAAGGCCUUUAUACAAAUUUACUUCAAAACAUGAUGUUUACAUAAUAACAAGAUAUGCCCCAAGAGCAUAGAACAUAUAGAAAAACCACAUACAAUAGAUUUUUCAGAAGCUUACUGAAAAUUCUAAGGAGCUUAUUGUUUCCUUAAAAGUAUUACCCAAUAUUUCUGAGCUGUUACCAUGGAGAAGAGGAGAAACUAGGAGAUUUCCUGACUGUCAGGGAGUUCUCCUGUUAGGAGUGAUCCAACCCUCAGGUGGUUGUUGCAUAGCUGUCAACUUACAGAUUUGAAAAUAAGGGACCAGCAGCCAAAAUAAGGGACCUGCAGCCUCACCUGUUCCAGGCACUCCAGUCUUCCUGUCCUCCUGCAGUCUGGUCAAACUCAUGCUGGUAGCUUCGAGAACACUGUCCAACAAACUUUGUAACCAGAGGUUCAACUGAAUAGAAUCUGAAUCACAUGCACCACAAGGCCUAUGCAGCCUCAACUUAAGAUGGCUCCCCAGCCUGGCUUUGCACUGCAAAGUUUGCAGCAGCACGUGCAACAAAAUGGCAUCCAGCAUUCAAAAACCUCCUCAGCUUGCAUUAACUAGCCACACACAAGGCAUGCAAGCUCCACCCCCCAGUCGUUCUUAGACUUCUUAUUGGUUGAGCAACAUAGCCAAGCAACACAGUUGGAGCCUCCCUCCUCCCUGGCCGGCAGGGAGGGAGGGAGAGGAGCUGCUUCCUUUGAAAUUUAAGGGAUAUCAUUUAAGGGACAUUUAAGUGACAUCCAUCAAUAAGGGACAGCAGCGGGACAUGGCGCUGGAAUAAGGGACUGUCCCUUCAAAUAAGGGACACUUGACAGCUAUGGGUUGUUUCUUUUGCUGUUGUUGUUUUAAAGAGAUUUCCCAAUUGCACAAAUUCUUAUCAGACAAAUGAGUGCAAAGCAUGCUUUGCUCCUUGCUUACAAUUAGGAGCAUUUUCUCCAUACAGGUUAGUAGUUCUUAUCUGCUAUGCAGUAACUGAGAGGACAAUCCAGUGGCCUUUGCACUUAUUUAAAUACCAACUUAGAAAAUAUUAUUACUGCCUCUCAAACCCAAGGCUUCUCCAGUUUGCACAAAGGUUGCCUGUUAAGCACAACUCAGCUGGUGGCUUAAACUGGCCCAUUUUUAAAAUUAUUAUUAUUGAACAAAUUAUCAAUACGGUUAAUCUUUUUUUUAAAAUAAUUUUAUUUAUUUAUUUAUUUAUACAUACAACAAGAAAAAAACACACACAAAAAAAUACAAAUACCAAAUUACACACAAAUUACAAAAAUAACCAUAGACACAUAAUUUUCUUGGCGAACAAUAAAACAUCUAUUGGUCUUAACACUAAAGACCCAACUUCCCGUCUAUUCCAUAUUUCAAAUUCAUAUUACGUAUUGCCAAUAUACAUUUUUUUCAUAAUUAAACUUAUUCUCAAUAAAUCUAAUUUCUUCUAUCUACCUAGCAACUAUCACUGAAGUUCCUUGAAUGCUGCAACAGAAUUUAAACUACUAUAUUUAUUUUUCAGAUAGUCUUUGAAAACCUCCCAUUUAGAAACAAAUUCCUGUUUUGAUUUAUUCUUUAUUUUUUCUGAUAAACCAUCUAAUUCGGCAUAUUCUCUCAGUUUUUGGAUCCAAUCUUGUAUAGAGGGGAUUUCAUUACUCUUCCAUUUUGCUGUGAUCAAAACUCUUGCUGCCGCCUUCGCAUAUAAAAAGAUACCCUUCCUCUUUUGUGGAAUAUCCAGAUCUGUUAUUCCCAGGAGGUAGGCCUCUGGUUUUUUAUUGAAAGAGAUCUUUAGCAUUUUUUGCAGUUCUGCAUGUAUACUCUCCCAGAAUACCUGUAUUUUCCUACAUAUCCACCACAUAUGGUAGAAUGUUCCUGAGUCUCCGCAUCUCCAACAAUUACUUGACACAUUUUUAUACAUUUUUGAAAGUUUCCAUGCUUUUAGAUACCAUCGAUGUUGCAUUUUUUGAAAGUUCUCUCUAAUUGUGUAACAGUUUGUGAAUUUCCAAUUGAUCUUCCAUAAAUUUUCCCAUUGGGCCAUGGUUAUUGGAUGGCCAAAAUCCUGGGACCACCUCACCAUUGCCACUGUUACCUCCUCCUCCUUGACUGUCCAGUCAAGGAGAAGUCGGUAAGUUUUGGAAAGAGUUUUUCUUUUAGAGUUUACAAGAUCAGAUUUGAAUCGGGAAAUUUCUGCUGAGAACCCCUUUUGUUUGUCAGAUUUAAAUUUUUCAAAUAACUGAUGGUAUUGGAACCAGUCUGAAAUGUGUUCUCUUAUCUCCUCAAAGUUUUUAAAUUUUAUUUGGUUAUCCUCCUUUUUUCAAGUAUUUUAUAUGUUGGCCAGCUUUCCUGAGUAUUUUUCCGUUUUACUGCUAUGGCUUCUACUGGAGAAGUCCACCACGGGACUUUAGGCUCCAUCAGGUCUUUAUAUUUUUCCCAUACAGCAAAGAGUGACUUUCUUAUUAUAUGGUUGGUAAAAUUUUUAUGAAUUUUCGCUUUUCCAUAUAUUAGGUAGGCGUGCCAUCCCCAACGGUUGUCAAAACCUUCCAGGUCCAGGAGGUCCGGAUCCUGCAACGUGCACCAAUCUUUUAGCCAGGCCAUUUAAUCAAUUACAAUAUUUUCCCCCUCCCCCCAUCCCUCCACAACAGCGGCAAGAGUCUUGAUUGCACAAGGAUGGAAGAAUGAGGAAAUCCCAAUGAAAGAACAAUGGCAAGAAAAAUUGAUGAACUAUGCAGAGUUGGCUAAAUUGACAUACAAAUUGCGGGACAAGGACAACUGCAACUUUAAGAAAGAAUGGGAGCUUUUUACAAAUUAUCUAAAAAGACAACAAAAUAAACUGGAUUCCUUGGCAGGUUUUGAAUAAAUAUCCACAAAUUUAUUAGGUGAACAUAUGAUAGACAAAACAAAGAUAUGUAUAAUUUUAUAAUAUGCAGAGAAUGAUAUGUGUAAAGAAAUCAGAGAGGGGAGCUGAGGGAAGUCUUUAGUGGGAGGGAAAUUGGCCCAUUUUUAACCGGCAGUCAAUAGGGCCUGCUCUGAAGGCUUUCAGGACUGACUGCUGUCAGCUUGCAAAGGAAACAGGACAAGUCCUGACACCAUGCUAUUCUUUUUUGGGUAGUUGUAGGCUCAGAGGUGAGGGGCAUAUGUAUGGGCUAAAAAAGAAAUGAAUGUGGGAGAUUUUGCAGUCAAACACCACUGCAUGAUUGCUAGUUGGUAUUUGAAGGGGUUAAGGACCACAGAGUAGGGUCAGUGAGCUCAUGCCCCAUCACCCCCAGUGAGGGAGGAAGUGAUGUAUUUCUUCUCCUCUCUUCCUUUCCUCAUUCUCUUCCUCGUGAUUUGAGCCAUGGAGGGAGUAUGUGCCUCACUAUUGCUCCCAGCUUCAGACGUGUCUGAAGCUACAUUGCUGUAUACCUGCUAAAGAAUAUUUUGCCUGCAUUUUCUAUUCUUGCAGCAUAGGACAAUGUGUGACUGAGACCUUAAAUCCGUAAGUAAAGUAUAUAUUUAAUUUACUUCAGUGUGCAGUCUAUUCACUGCAAACAGGGGUAGAAGGAGGUCAGCUGCUACGUGCAAGUAAUGCACAAUAAAGAAAAGUUUAACAGCCUAUAUUCUACACUUCACUAAACUGCUUAACAAUGAUAUUUAAAUUCUGCUAUGGGCUGUCUCUUGUCUGAGAGUCUGUAAAACCCCACACUUUUCCUUGUUCAUGGGUCUAUAGAGGAGUAAAUAUAAUUAAUAUAUUCUCUUCCAAUUCCCAUCAAAGAAAGCAGGACCACACACACCAGUUCCU